UACAGGGGGGGCAAGCGUUGUUCGGAAUUACUGGGCGUAAAGGGCUCGUAGGCGGCCAACUAAGUCCGACGUGAAAUCCCAAAGCUUAACUUUGGAACUGCGUCGGAUACUGGAUGGCUUGAAUUCGGGAGAGGGAUGUGGAAUUCCAGGUGUAGCGGUGAAAUGCGUAGAUAUCUGGAGGAACACCGGUGGCGAAGGCGACAUCCUGGACCGGUAUUGACGCUGAGGCGCGAAAGCCAGGGGAGCAAACGGG
rnacentral:rRNA from 1 species